rnacentral:rRNA from 1 species
UGAGUAACGCGUGGACAACCUGCCUCUCACUGGGGGAUAGCAGCUGGAAACGGCUGGUAAUACCGCAUACGCUCAUUUCACCGCAUGGUGAGAAGAGGAAAGAUUUAUCGGUGAGAGAUGGAUCCGCGUCUGAUUAGCCAGUUGGCGGGGUAACGGCCCACCAAAGCGACGAUCAGUAGCCGGCCUGAGAGGGCGGACGGCCACAUUGGGACUGAGACACGGCCCAGACUCCUACGGGAGGCAGCAGUGGGGGAUAUUGCACAAUGGGCGCAAGCCUGAUGCAGCGAACCGCCGCGUGAGUGAAGAAGUAUCUCGGUAUGUAAAGCUCUAUCAGCAGGGAAGAAAGACCCUUCGGGGGGAUGACGGUACCUGACCAAGAAGCCCCGGCUAACUACGUGCCAGCCGCCGC